UACGUAGGGUGCGAGCGUUAAUCGGAAUUACUGGGCGUAAAGCGUGCGCAGGCGGUUCGUUAAGUUCGUUGUGAAAGCCCCGGGCUCAACCUGGGAACUGCAAUGGAAACUGGCGGGCUUGAGUGUGGCAGAGGGGGGUGGAAUUCCGCGUGUAGCAGUGAAAUGCGCAGAUAUCAGGAGGAACACCGGUGGCGAAGGCGGGUCUCUGGGCCGAUACUGACGCUGAGGAGCGAAAGCGUGGGGAGCGAACAGG
rnacentral:rRNA from 1 species